rnacentral:rRNA from 1 species
AGUGAACGCUGGCGGUAGGCCUAACACAUGCAAGUCGAACGGCAGCACAGUAAGAGCUUGCUCUUACGGGUGGCGAGUGGCGGACGGGUGAGGAAUACAUCGGAAUCUACUUUUUCGUGGGGGAUAACGUAGGGAAACUUACGCUAAUACCGCAUACGACCUACGGGUGAAAGCAGGGGAUCUUCGGACCUUGCGCGAUUGAAUGAGCCGAUGUCGGAUUAGCUAGUUGGCGGGGUAAAGGCCCACCAAGGCGACGAUCCGUAGCUGGUCUGAGAGGAUGGUCAGCCACACUGGAACUGAGACACGGUCCAGACUCCUACGGGAGGCAGCAGUGGGGAAUAUUGGACAAUGGGCGCAAGCCUGAUCCAGCCAUACCGCGUGGGUGAAGAAGGCCUUCGGGUUGUAAAGCCCUUUUGUUGGGAAAGAAAAGCAGCAGGUUAAGACCCCGCUGUUCUGACGGUACCCAAAGAAUAAGCACCGGCUAACUUCGU